AUCAUUUUCUUUCCCAGUUUGCCCAUCGACAACCUGAAAUGUCUUCUCCACCCCCAUACCUUCCUCCUGUAGAGGCCUCCGCCGAUCGGAAAAGACGCCGCGACGAGAUGGUGGAGAUAGAGGAGGAGGGGGAGUCGCCGGAGAUCUCCUCGCCCGAGGCCAAGCGCCUCCUCCUCGACAUCCUUGACGAUGACGCCGAUGCCGGAGACCAGGACCUCGCCUCCGUCAUGAAGAGCCUCGAGGAGGAGAUCGCCCUCCCCUCGCCGCCUCCGCAACCGCAGCUGCUCCCUCUGGCCGCGGUGGACCAGCCCGACCUAGGGUUCCUCUUCGAGGCCUCCGACGACGAGCUCGGCCUGCCGCCCCAGGCCGACGAGCGCUGCGAGGCACCCGAGCCGGAGGUCGCCGAGGAGAGCGCCGGGUUUGGCCAGAUCUGGGGGUUCGACGACGGCGACCUGUGCGGAUACGAAGGGUUCGAGUUCGGGAUCCGGCCGGAGGAGCGGGCGGAGGCGGACGACGGGGUGGUGUUCGACGGCGGGCUGUUUGAUUACGCCGACGU
rnacentral:lncRNA from 1 species